GAUAUUUUAAAUUAUCUCCCUCCUUAAAAAUUACUAUAGAGAGUUUACAGAAGAACGCUAAUUUGCCCUUUUUGUAUUUUAAAAACACUUCUUUGUGAUUUCAAGUUAUACAAUUAUAAUUCAAUCAUAAAAUGAGAACAAAGAUGUUAGAUGACCUUGCAGUAGUUCACAGUAUUGUAAAAUGACCACAUUAUUAUUUUAGCCCAAGUUUCCAUAAUGAAAACUAUGCUGCCUCUAUUGACGGAUUUUAUGGGUCUCAUUUUAUCCGAGCACACAGUACACAUUGGAAGUGCUAGUGAGGAGUAUGGUGAGGGGUGAGGGACUUUUCUUUGAACAUUUGGCUUUUUUUUUUUCUGGUCUCCCACAAGGACUGGUCCUGUUGCACAAUGCUUAGAGAAAUGAACACACCUCCACGAGAAGACCCAUCAGUAAAAAGACAACAGCAAGAAAAUAAGACAAAGUUAUUCCAGAACUGAGUUCUCAAAUCCUCCUUCCUGUGAAUAAGAAGGUGCUAUUUAAGCCACUGCUGACACCCGGCCACAACAAUCCCUGUUAGUUCAGGCAAAGAGGAAAAACUUCCUACAAAGGGCUCUCUCCCCUUGCUGGCUACUCCCAGGCAAAGGGGGAACUACCAAGAAAAAGCCUUUGGAGACAACCAAACAGGUUCAAAUCCUGAGUCUUCUAGUUACCAGCUAUGUGAUCUGACAACUAAGUCAACCUCUCUAAGCCCCAGUUUCCUCAUCUGAAAAAUGGAGAUGAUAAUAAUCAGGUGCCUGGUAAAAGGCAUCCAUUAAAAAAUGAUUUCAUAUUUAAUGAAGAAAGACUAAAGCUUUCUCCCUAAUCAAAAACAAGACAAGGAUGUCUGCUCUCGCCACCUCUAUUCAACAUUGCACUGGAGGUUCUAGCCAGGGCAAUUAGACAAGAAAAAGAAAUAAAAAGGCAUCCACACUGGAAAGAAAGAAGUAACACUAUCUCUGCUUGCAAAUGACAUGAUCUUAUAUAUAAUAGAAAAGUUAAGAAAUUCACACAUACACAACUAUUUGAGCUAAUAAAUGAGUUCAGCA